CCUACGGGCGGCAGCAGUGAGGAAUAUUGGUCAAUGGCCGGAAGGCUGAACCAGCCAAGCCGCGUGAGGGAGGAAGGCGCAGAGCGUCGCAGACCUCUUUUGCCGGGGGACAAAAGGCCGGUCUCGUCCGGUCCUGAGGGUACCCGGAGAAAAAGCAUCGGCUAACUCCGUACCAGCAGCCGAGGUAUUACGGAGGAUGCGAGCGUUAUCCGGUUUCCUUGGGUUAAGAGGGUGCGCAGGGGGGCCUUUAAGCCGGCGGGGAAAUCGCGGGGCUCAACCCCGCCGAGCCGUCGAAACUGGGGGCCUUGAGUGCGGCGGAGGCAUGCGGAAUGCGCGGUGUAGCGGUGAAAUGCAUAGAUAUCGCGCAGAACCCCGAUUGCGAAGGCAGCGUGCCGUGCCGCCACUGACGCUGAGGCACGAAAGCGCGGGGAUCGAACAGGAUUAGAUACCCCAGUAGUC
rnacentral:rRNA from 1 species